GCUGGCCUUUGCUUUUUUUUUUUUUUUUUUUUUUUUUUGUGAUGGAGUGAGUAAGGCGGCAGUGAGGGCCUGUGGGUUUUGUUGUUGGCCUCUACUUCCUCUAAAGUGUGAUCCACCUGGAGGAAACCCCUCUGGUCCAGUUUCCUUUGCUGUUCUUUUCUAUUUGGGAUGUAGGAGGGCCCAGCUUGGCCUUGAGCUCACAAUCAUCCUCCUGCCUUGGCCUCCAAAGUGUGCAUCAUUGUACCCUGUUCUUGAGUCUGCGCUGCUUACUUUUUUAUUUGAUAUAUUACUAGGACUUUUAAAUUUCUUCUCUUUCUCUUUUUCCUUUUACUAUAAUUUUUGAGACAAUCUUACUGUGAAGCCCUGUUUGACUUGACAUUGUAUUUGCCCAAGUUGACUUCCAAUCUAUGCCAAUCAUUCCUGCCUGGGUCUCCUGAAUGCUGGGAUUACAGGUGUGCACCACCAUGGCCCAGCGCGCUCACUCGUGCGCUCUCUCUCUCUCUCUCUCUCUCUCUCUCUCUCUCUUUCUCUUUUUUAAAGUGUUGGCUAAUAUUACCUCUAUGGUGGAGUAGUUGUUAACGAAGAUUGGUAACUACUGUUGAAUGAACAUUUGAUAAACUCUGUUAUCUUUUUUUUUAAUCUCAAUAUUUAAUAAUGUUGAAACUGUUUAAUAAAAGUCUGAAGCAUCU
rnacentral:lncRNA from 1 species